rnacentral:rRNA from 1 species
CCCUUAGAUGUUCUGGGCCGCACGCGCGCUACACUGAUGCAUUCAACGAGUCCAACCUUGACCGAGAGGUCCGGGUAAUCUUUGAAACUGCAUCGUGAUGGGGCUAGAUUAUUGCAAUUAUUAAUCUUCAACGAGGAAUGCCUAGUAAGCGUGAUUCAUCAAAUCGCGUUGAUUACGUCCCUGCCCUUUGUACACACCGCCCGUCGCUCCUACCGAUUGAGUGUGUUGGUGAGGAGUUUGGAUUGGCCUCGGAAGGUGGUUCGCCACCGUCCGUAGCUGAGAAGUUCUCCAAACCGCACCACUUAGAGGAAGGAGAAGUCGUAACA